rnacentral:rRNA from 1 species
UACGUAGGGUGCAAGCGUUAUCCGGAAUUAUUGGGCGUAAAGCGUCCGCAGGUGGCUGUUCAAGUCUGCUGUCAAAGCGCAGAGCUUAACUCUGUACAGGCGGUGGAAACUGAAGAGCUAGAGUAUGGUAGGGGUAGAGGGAAUUCCCGGUGUAGCGGUGAAAUGCGUAGAUAUCGGGAAGAACACCAGUGGCGAAAGCGCUCUACUGGGCCAUAACUGACACUGAGGGACGAAAGCUAGGGGAGCGAAAGGG